rnacentral:tRNA from 1 species
AAAAUACUAGUAAUAAAAAUUACACUGUCUUGUCAAGACAGAAUUGUAGGUUAAAAUCUCUACGUAUUUUA